AGUAACGCGUGGGUAACCUGCCUCAUACAGGGGGAUAACGAUUGGAAACGAUUGCUAAUACCGCAUAAGCGCACAGUACCACAUGGUAUAGUGUGAAAAACUCCGGUGGUAUGAGAUGGACCCGCGUCUGAUUAGCUAGUUGGUGAGGUAACGGCCCACCAAGGCAACGAUCAGUAGCCGACCUGAGAGGGUGACCGGCCACAUUGGGACUGAGACACGGCCCAG
rnacentral:rRNA from 1 species